rnacentral:rRNA from 2 species
UGCAGUCGACGACUCUGGUAUUGAUUGGUGCUUGCAUCAUGAUUUACAUUUGAGUGAGUGGCGAACUGGUGAGUAACACGUGGGAAACCUGCCCAGAAGCGGGGGAUAACACCUGGAAACAGAUGCUAAUACCGCAUAACAACUUGGACCGCAUGGUCCGAGUUUGAAAGAUGGCUUCGGCUAUCACUUUUGGAUGGUCCCGCGGCGUAUUAGCUAGAUGGUGGGGUAACGGCUCACCAUGGCAAUGAUACGUAGCCGACCUGAGAGGGUAAUCGGCCACAUUGGGACUGAGACACGGCCCAAACUCCUACGGGAGGCAGCAGUAGGGAAUCUUCCACAAUGGACGAAAGUCUGAUGGAGCAACGCCGCGUGAGUGAAGAAGGGUUUCGGCUCGUAAAACUCUGUUGUUAAAGAAGAACAUAUCUGAGAGUAACUGUUCAGGUAUUGACGGUAUUUAACCAGAAAGCCACGGCUAACUACGUGCCAGCAGCCGCGGUAAUACGUAGGUGGCAAGCGUUGUCCGGAUUUAUUGGGCGUAAAGCGAGCGCAGGCGGUUUUUUAAGUCUGAUGUGAAAGCCUUCGGCUCAACCGAAGAAGUGCAUCGGAAACUGGGAAACUUGAGUGCAGAAGAGGACAGUGGAACUCCAUGUGUAGCGGUGAAAUGCGUAGAUAUAUGGAAGAACACCAGUGGCGAAAGCGGCUGUCUGGUCUGUAACUGACGCUGAGGCUCGAAAGUAUGGGUAGCAAACAGGAUUAGAUACCCUGGUAGUCCAUACCGUAACGAUGAUGCUAGUGUUGGAGGGUUUCCGCCCUUCAGUGCUGCAGCUAACGCAUUAAGCAUUCCGCCUGGGGGAGUA